AUUGUUAAUUAAACAGUUUGUUUGUCGUUGCAGACACAUCUGGGAAUCACGCUGGAGCAAACAGUGGGGCGAUUGUUGGAGGGGUGUUAGGCGGUUUCCUCGUUGUUGUUACAUCUAUCUUUACAGUGAUAGUUGUGAUCUUAUGGAGAAGAUCAAAAACAAAAGCUUUACCAGAGGGUACUGAAAACAGGCAGAUGUCACCGGCAGGAGACCUCAUCGGAGAAAUGCGGACGAUACCGAGACCAGCCGAUACUCACCAUGACCCUGCUGUCAAUAUCG